GGGCCCGUAGCUCAGCACGGCCAGAGCGCCAGGCUCAUAACCUGUUGGUCAAGGGUUCAAAUCCCUUCGGGCCCACCA
rnacentral:tRNA from 1 species